rnacentral:lncRNA from 1 species
CACUUCUCUCUCUCUCCUCUUUCCCUUUCCUCUGGUUAGGGUUAGGGUUUUCGUGUUCCUUCUCUUCCGCUUCCCCAGGAGCAGAAAUCGGGUAGAGAGCGAGGUUUUUGAGGGAGUUUUGACGGAUCCGAGAUGGGAUCGGAGGCGGCCGCCGUCGUCCCGACCUCGCUGGUGCAGGAGAGCUUCGCGGAGCUGGAGAAGCAGCGGGAGCUCAUCACCUGCUGCACGCUGCUCUGGAAGGAGCUCUCCGACCACUUCUCCACUCUCGAGCGAGGGAUCGAGAUCAAGUCCGAAGCCCUCCGGUCGAAGCGCGAGUCUCUCGACGGCUCCACCCGGCGCACCCUCGACUCGCUCCGCCGCCGCGAGCUCUCCAUCGAUGGCGCCGUCGACCUGGCCCUCGC